rnacentral:tRNA from 1 species
GCCCGGCUAGCUCAGUCGGUAGAGCAUGAGACUCUUAAUCUCAGGGUCAUGGGUUCGGGGCCCCACGUUGGGCA